ensembl:lncRNA
AACUAAAUAACACACAUACAUUCCAUACUUUCUUAAGUCAAAUAUAAUACCUGAUGACUCCUGUUGAGGAGAGAGAGAGGGAGAGCGGUAGAGAGAAUAGAGAGAGAGAUGUAGAGAGAAUAGAGAGAGAGGGAGAGAGAAUAGAGAGAGAGAGGUAGAGAGAGAGGUAGAGAGAAUAGAGAGAGAGAGGUAGAGAGAAUAGGGAGAGAGAGGUAGAGAGAAUAGAGAGAGAGAGGUAGAGAGAAUAGAGAGAGAGAGGUAGAGAGAAUAGAGAGAGAGCGGUAGAGAGAAUAGAGAGAGAGAGGUAGAGAGAGAGAGGUAGAGAGAAUAGAGAGAGAGAGGUAGAGAGAAUAGAGAGAGAGAGGUAGAGAGAGAGAGGUAGAGAGAAUAGAGAGAGAGGGAGGUAGAGAGAAUAGAGAAACUCUAAACGGGAGAAGAGA